ACCAAAGCUCAAGAGACGUUCAGCUGCAAUUAAGGUCUCAAGAAUGCAAGUUCUCACAUCAAAGCGUUGAAGUUCAAAUGGGUGGCUACAUGUUUUGUGUUGCUACUUGUUGCGAUGCACGGAGAACUGGAUUAUGUUGAAAGUAUGAUCAAUGAGAUCAAAUUUCUACCAUCGGGUCGGACCAUCAGAGUCUUGCGCCAGUGCUUCCUAACAGCUUCCAACUACACAAGUGGUGUGGGAUCCAAUUGGUCAGAGUUUUGCAUUAGCAAUUCUCUGCAGGGCUUCGAAACACACUAGUGGAGCUUCAUCUGAGAGGAUAUGAAGAUGUCGAUCAUGAGGAACCAGUUAGCAACAAGCUUACCUACUGAAAGCAGUCAAAAGUUAUAUUCGCAUUUGCAUUUGCAGCAACAAUCUGACUAGUACAUCAUCCCUAGGAAUUCGAAUCAAAUUGAGUUUUUUUCUGCUUGACUUCUAAUUCUAUGCAGUCAGAUGUUUAUUUUUGGAUGGUUUGUGGACAGAUGUUCCUAGCUGGGAUGAGGAACCGGUGACUAUCCAAAAAUUGAAAGAAUGUAUAUAUGGAAUGAAGCUUCCCUUCUUCUUCGUUGGGUUUUCUUCUGUUUGAUAACUGUUGUUUUUCGGGUUGUAAGCUCUUGGAGCUGUUCUUGUUUGCUCACCACUAGCAGCUCUAUUUAAUACAGUUCUUACUUUUGCCGGGAGAAAAAAAGAUAAUCUCACCGCUAGCAGCCAACUUGUUGUAUGCAACUUUAAAUUAGUUCAACACCUUCAGGCCUAUUUCUUGUGUUU